ensembl:miRNA Mir7025 microRNA 7025
UGGCCCGUGAGCUGAAGCUGGUGGCUCCCAGUGAGUUUCUCAGUAGGCAGCACAACUCCAGCUCACCAGCCACA